CCUACGGGAGGCAGCAGUGGGGAAUAUUGCACAAUGGGGGAAACCCUGAUGCAGCGACGCCGCGUGAGUGAAGAAGUCUUUCGGUAUGUAAAGCUCUAUCAGCAGGGAAGAUAAUGACGGUACCUGACUAAGAAUCCCCGGCUAACUACGUGCCAGCAGCCGCGGUCAUACGUAGGGGGCAAGCGUUAUCCGGAUUUACUGGGUGUAAAGGGUGCGUAGGUGGGAAGGUAAGUCUGGAGUGAAAGCCCGGGGCUCAACCCCGGGACUGCAUUUGAAACUGUCUAGCUGGAGUGCAGGAGAGGUAAGCGGAAUUCGUGGUGUAGCGGUGAAAUGCGUAGAUAUCAGGAGGAACACCGGUGGCGAAGGCGGCUUGCUGGACUGUAACUGACGCUGAGGCACGAAAGCGUGGGGAGCAAACAGGAUUAGAUACCCUUGUAGUC
rnacentral:rRNA from 1 species